rnacentral:rRNA from 1 species
AUUGAACGCUGGCGGCAGGCCUAACACAUGCAAGUCGAGCGAGCGGCGGACGGGUGAGUAAUGUAUGGGGACUGCCCGAUAGAGGGGGAUAACUACUGGAAACGGUAGCUAAUACCGCAUACUAUCGGAUAACCCAUAUGGGAUUAGCUAGUAGGUGAGGUAAUGGCUUACCUAGGCGACGAUCCCUAGCGGGUCUGAGAGGAUGAUCAGCCAAACUGGGAGUGAGACACGGCCCAGACUCCUACGGGGGGAGCAGGGGGAAAUUUUGCACAAUGGGCGCAAGCCUGAUGCAGCCAGGCCGCGUGUAUGAAGAAGGCCCUAGGGUUGUAAAGUACUUUCAGUCGGGAGGCGUUCCGACAGAAGAAGCACCGGCUAACUCCGUGCCAGCAGCCGCGGUAAUUC